GAUCUGCGAUCAGUGACCUCUGAUGUUACUACUGUAAUUGUUUUAGGGCGCUACGAGCCCAUAUAGGACAGUGAACUUAAUCGAUAAAUGUUGGGAGGUGUUCUGACUGCUCCACAGAUGGCCUUUCCCGUCUCUUCCCCUCUCCUUGGGCCUCCUUAUUCUCUGAGACAAAACGAUAUUAAAAUUAGGUCAAUUAAUAUCCCAACAAUGGCUUCUAACUGUCCAUGUGAAAGUAGGAGAUGCAUGUCUCUCACUUUAAAUCAAAAGGUAGAAAUGAUGAAGCUUAGUGAGGAUGGCAUGGAGAAAAUUUGCUAGGUCAAAAGCUAGGCCACCCACACCAGACGGUUAGCCAAGUUGUGAAUACAAAGGAAAAGCUCUUGAAAG